AUGGCCCACCAGGAAGGAAGUCCAACCACUUCAAUGAAUCUCCACUGCCAUCCAAAGACCAAGUUCGUGAUGCAGACUUGCAUGCACACAAUCGUGCAAGGCAUCGCAGUAGCGAACCUCAAGAUGCUCAAAGUUUCAAGCCCCGACAAGAAAAUCCUCAACACCCCAAAAUGUUGGGGAAAGGAAUGCCCCAUCCCUUAGCUGAUGUCAACUACACUCCAAGGCCUGGUGAUAAAUCAAGUUUACCAGUUUACCACUGUGGAUGGC